AAACUUAAAGGAAUUGACGGGGAGCACCACAACGGGUGGAGCUUGCGGUUUAAUUGGAUUCAACGCCGAAAUCUUACCGGGACCGACAGCAACAUGAAGGCCAGGCUGAAGACUUUGCCGGAUUAGCUGAGAGGUGGUGCAUGGCCGUCGUCAGUUCGUACUGUGAAGCAUCCUGUUAAGUCAGGCAACGAGCGAGACCCACGCCCACAGUUGCCAGCGUACUCUCUGGAGUGACGGGUACACUGUGGGGACCGCCGCUGCUAAAGCGGAGGAAGGAAUGGGCAACGGUAGGUCAGUAUGCCCCGAAUAUCCCGGGCUACACGCGAGCUACAAUGGUUGGUACAAUGGGUAUCUACCCCGAAAGGGGACGGGAAUCUCCUAAAACCAAUCUUAGUUCGGAUUGAGGGCUGCAACUCGCCCUCAUGAAGCUGGAAUCCGUAGUAAUCGCGUUUCAACAGAACGCGGUGAAUACGUCCCUGCUCCUU
rnacentral:rRNA from 1 species